UAGCAUACGAUGAACUUGCUUGGAUUCCCCUUCAGGACAUCAAAUAGAAUGAUGCAAAUUCGAGUUUCCAAUGCA
rfam:Oryza brachyantha chromosome 5, whole genome shotgun sequence.